rnacentral:lncRNA from 1 species
UGAUUACACAAAUAUUAAAAUGGUUUAUAUUUUAACCAGAAUAAAGGCAUUGUUAAAUUCAUCAACUUUAUGCAAGCACACGCACAUAAUCUUUUCAGACAUAUGAAAUCCACUGAAGUCAGAAUUUCUUUCAUACAAGAGAUUCUAUACUCCAUCCAGCACAUCAUUCUAUAUCUCAAUUUUCAUAAUGAAUAAACCCACUGAUAAAAAUAUAAAUGUAGUAGUGUCAGCAUAAACUUGAAGUGACUAAUUCCUUCAUGCACCUAAUAGCAAUACAUUUUCAGGUUUGUGCAUCAAAUCUCAAUAACUACUUUCCACUACUCUCAAAAGGUGAGUGUAGAGAUUGUACCUCUAUUAGUUAAAUGUUUUUCUGUAAGUGUUUUAUCAAGCGGUUAAUGUUCCUUCAAUGUAUUUUCAGAUUUCUACAAUACAGUACACUUCAAACUUCCUCCUUUAUCCAUAAUGAUUCUCCACUCCAUGAACUGUUUUUAUGAAGCAGCACAAAACCAAUAAAAAGUUUUGUGCAGAACAAGUCAAUAACUACUGUCCACUACUCCCAAAAGAUUUCUGCAAUAUGCUACACUUCAAACUUUCUUCUCCAGUAUAUGAUUCUCUACACCUUCAACUGUUUUAUGAAGAGGCACACAACCAAUAAAACGAUUUCUACAAUAGCUACAGUUGAAACUUCCUCCUUAUCCAUUAAAUGAUUCUCCACUCUAUGAACUCUUUUGAUGACGCACACAACCGAUAAAAAAGGUAGAAUAUAAUAUCCUUUGUGCCUUUUUAAUCAGAAGUUGAUACUAAUUUGAUUUAAUGUAUUGAUAUAUAUUUAAUUUUUUUUUUUUUUUUUUUUUUUUUGUUUCGUCUUCUUCUUUCUUUACUAGUAGUAAAUUCUCCACUCUAUGAACUCUUUUAGAUAGACGCACACAACCGAAUAAAAAGGUAGAAUAUAAUAUCCUUUGUGUACCUUUUAAUCAGUAAGUUGAUACUUAAUUUGUAUUAAUGUAUUGAUAUAUAUAAUUUUUUUUUUUUUUUUUUUUUUUUUUGUCUGCUUCUCUUUCUUACAGUGAAUACAAAACCAUUGUUCAAGUAUCUUCAGAAAAUGUCCCGGCAAAACUGUAAACUGAUGCAGGCAGUCAAUAGUCAAAGAUAUCACAAAUGCAUAACCACAAAAGUAACACAAUUCUAUAUGAAAUGUUGGAUGGAUGG